rnacentral:rRNA from 1 species
UAUGGGAAGUACCUNAGUGGCGAACGGGUGAGUAACACGUGAGCAACCAACCCCAAAGUCAGGGAUAACACCGGGAAACCGAUGCUAAUACCAGAUACCUUCUCGGACUCACCUGAGACCGAGAAGAAAGAUUUAUCGCUUUGGGACGGGCUCGCGGCCUAUCAGCUAGUUGGUGAGGUAACGGCUCACCAAGGCGUCGACGGGUAGCUGGUCUGAGAGGACGAUCAGCCACACUGGGACUGAGACACGGCCCAGACUCCUACGGGAGGCAGCAGUGGGGAAUAUUGCGCAAUGGGCGAAAGCCUGACGCAGCAACGCCGCGUGGAGGAUGAAGGCUCUUGGGUUGUAAACUCCUUUCAGCAGGGAAGAAAUUGACGGUACCUGCAGAAGAAGCCCCGGCCAACUACGUG